GGGGUUGUUUGGUUUUGACAGCUCGUAUGUGGGAAUGUAAGCACGUCGGACGUUGUAAGCAGGUUCCGUUAACAGCCAACUUUCAAGCCAUUAUAAAUGGCGCAGAAAAUAAUUUUGCUUUAGCUGCUUAACAAGGUUAAGCACAAAGCUGUUUCCCCGAAAGCCCUUCUUUUCGGCGUUCGGAGUGAAGCAUCGCAAAAGGAAAGAUAGUUUGUAUAUGCCUCGCUAUACGAAUGAAAAUAAGAGGAUAAGUCGGAAAUAGGCCUGCCUUGUGCCAAAGUCCGAACGAAAAUCCAAUCAAGGCUAAACGUGUAGAAAGCAUUUUUGCAGCGUGUUUGGACGAGGGUUCGACUCCCUCCAACUCCACC
rnacentral:tmRNA from 1 species